GUCUCCCGUGCAGAAGGCUGCGGAGGAUCCAGAGGGCGUCAGUACCCUGCAGAUUACGGGGCUUCUGCAGCUACGCAGACACCUAGCCGGGUGUCUCCCGUGCGGAAGGCUGCGGAGGAUCCGGAGGGCGUCAGUACCCUGUGGAUUACGGGGAUCCUGUAGCUACGCAGACACCUGGCUCUGUGUCUCCCAUGCAGUAGGCUGUGGAGGAUUCGGAGAGCGUCAGUACCCUGCGGAUUACGGGGCUCCUGCAGCUACACAGACACCUAGCUGGGUGUCUCCCCUGCCGCAUCAGUACCCUGACGAUUAUGGGGCUCCUGCUGCUGUGCAGACACCUAGCCCGGUCUCCCUGCGGAAGGUUGCGGAGGACCCGGAGGGCGUCAGUACCCUGAGGAUUGCGGCUCUCCUGCAGCUGCGCAGACACCUAGCUGGGUGUCUCCCCUGCGGAAGGCUGCGGAGGAUCACGGAGGGCUGCCAAGGAACACGGAGGGCUGCCGAGGAACACGGAGGGCUGCGGAAGAUCACGGAGGGCUGCGUAGGAUCACGGAGGGCUGCGUAGGAUCACGGAGGGCUGCGUAGGAUCACGGAGGGCUGCGUCAGUACCCUGCGGGUUGCGGCACUCCUGCAGCUGCGCACUGAGACUUAGCUGUCUUACCCUGCGAUGGUGUUGGAGAACCCUGGUGAGCGUCUUUACCCUGUGAAUGGCCUGGCGCUGCUGAAGCCCCGCAGAGAAUUAGCUGAGUGACCUCCUCUGUACACGGCUGUAUAGGAUUUGGGUGGGCAUCAUCACCUGUGGAUUACGGGAAUGCUGUAGCUGCGCAUGGAGACCUAGCUGGUAUCCUCCCCUGCUGACGGCUGCGGAGGGUGAGGGGAUGGGAGGAAGCAUCAAUGCUUUGUGCAUCGCGGAGAUGCUGAGGCCAUGCACGAAGAUCUAACUGGGUGUCCCUACCCAGGGGACGGCUGCGGAGGACCUGGGCAGGCGUCAGUAUACUGUGGAUGGUGGUGCUGUGAAAGCUGUGCAUUGAGACCUAGCUGGGUGUCCCUACCCUGCGGAUGGCAGUGGAGAACCCUGGGGGGCAUUUUUACCCUAUGGAUUGCCUGGUGCUGCUGAAGCUGCGCGCAGACCUAGCUGAGUUUUUUCCCCUGCGGAAGCCUGCGGAGGACCUGGGCGGACUCUUUACCCUGUGAAUUGCGGGGCUGCUGAAGCUGCGCACUGAGACUUAGCUGGGUGUCUUCCCCUGUGGAAGGGUGCGAAGAAUCUUGGUAACUUUGGGUGGCUUCUGCAGAUCGCGGGUACGCUGACGCCUCGCGCUGAGACCUAGCUGAGUGUCCUCCCCUGUGGAUAGCUGCGGAGGACCUGGGCGGGCUCUUUAUCCCAUGGAUCGCAGAGCUGCUGGAGCCCUGCACUGAAACGUGGCUGAGUGUUCCCCGCCCCGCAGAUAGCUGUGGAGGACCCCGGCGGGCAUCUUUACCCUGUGGAUUGUCUGGCGCUGUUGAAGCGCGCACUGAGAUGUAGCUGAGCGUUCCCUACCUUACAGGUUACCAGCUGCAGAAGACCCCGGCAGACGGGAGUCCUUAUUGUGGAUUGCCUGGUGCCGCUGAAGCCUGCUGUGAGACGCAGCUCAGCGUUCCCCGCCCCGCAGAUAGCUGCGGAGGACCCCGGCGGGCAUCUUUACCCUGUGGAUUGUCUGGCGCUGUUGAAGCGCGCACUGAGAUGUAGCUGAGCGUUCCCCGCCCCGCAGAUAGCUACGGAGGACGGGCGUCCUUACCCUGUGGAUUGCCUGGCGCUGCUGAAGUCCGCACUGAGACCUAGCUGAGCGUUCCCUACUCGGCAGUUAGCUGUGGAGCACCCCGGCGGGCAUCUUUACCCUGUGGAUUGCCUGGCGCUGUUGAAGCGCGCACUGAGACGUAGCUGAGCAUUCCCUACCCUAAGGAUAGCUGCGGAGGACCCCAGCCGGCAGGCGUCCUUACCCUGUGAAUUGCGUGGCGCUGCUGAAGCCCUGCACUGAGAUCUAGCUGAGCAUUCCCUACCCCUCAGAUGGGGCAGAGGACCCCGGCGGGCGUCCUUGCCCUGUGGAUUGCCUGGCACUGCUGAAGAGUGCUCUGAGACCUAGCUGAGCAUUCCCGACCCUGCUGUUGGCUGUGGGGGACCUGUUGAGUGCCUUUACCCUAUGGACUAUGGCAAGGGUGAGACUGCAUUCCUUGAUGGGCAUUCUUAUCCUUCAGAUGGGGGCAAUUCUGUGGCUGUUCAUUGAGGAUAUGAGCUAGUGUCAUUCCCUGUAGGACUGUGGCAUGUCUGUAGCCACGCACCCAGGACCUGGGUAGGCAUCAUUACCCUGGGAGCAGUGGCAGAGCUGUGACUGAGAACGAGGACCCAGGCAGGCUCCUCACUGCGGACUGCAGCACAGCUGUGGUUGUGCACCAAGGACCCACUCAGACAGGCUUUCUUACCCUGUGGACAGCAGCUUGGCAGCCACUGGGUGCCAGCAACUGGGACGGUGUUCUUACCCUGUGGACUGUGGCACAGCUGGGGCUAUGCACCCCAAGACCCAGCUGGGCAUUCCUAUCCUGCUGACUGUCGCACGUCUGUGGCCAGGAGUUUUUACCCUGCAGACAGCAGCACAGCUGCGGCUGCACCCUAGGCACCUAGACGGGUUCUGUUAUCUUGUAGGCUGUGGCAGCACGGUGGCACACACCCACAAUGCAAGCGGGUAUAUUAUGCUGUGAAUGGCAACACAGGCUGAGCAGCCAUGACCCAGGUGGGAGUGCUAACUCUGGGGGAGUCCUUACCCCUUGGAUGGGGGCACAGCUAUGGCUGGCACAACUCAGGUGGGCAUCUUUACCCUGCCGACAGUGGCAGGGGUGCACAUGGAGGACUCAGGUGAGUGUUCUCAUCCUGUGGACUGUGUUACUGCUGUGGCUGUGUACUGAGGAGCUGGGCAGGCGUUCCUCCUCUGCUGACUGUGACACAGCACCAGCUGCACCGAGAACCAGGGCAGGUGUCUUGACUCUGUCACCUGUAGCCCUGCUGCAGUGCCCAAGAACCAACUUGGAGCCAGGCAGAGGAGGUCCCUCCCCUCCUGACUGCAGCGCACCUCCACCUGUGCCCUGAAGACCUGUGUGAGCAUCUUUGCCCUGCCCUGCGACAUUGCUCUGGCCAUACACCAACGACCUGGACAGGUUUUCACACCCGAAGCCCAAGCGUCCCUUCCGUUGGUUCCUGUGGCUGAUGCAGCCAGCUGUGCACUGUGAGCUGCUGCAGGAGGAGCUGCAGAGACAUGUUCUUCUUGACUUCUCAGUGUAGGAAUGUCUCACGUCCAGUCCACGUUCCUGUCGUGGUCCUCCUCUCUGCUCUUUCUACGCUUCCUCCACAGUGGUCUCCUGCACACUCACGGCUGUGGCACCAGAGGAGGGCAUCUUCUGCAUUUCUGAAUUCCAGGCACCCCUCUCCACCUGCUACUCACUGUCUCCACUGGGUGUCUUCUGGUCAUCCCUCGCUCAACGUGACUGUUGGCUUACUCCCAGCUGGCUUUGCAGUUUCCCUUGCUGUGUUGACGGCAGUUCCAUCCUUCAGUGGCUUAAGCCGGAUACCUUAGAGUCAUUCUUGACUCUCUUCAACUUCAUACCGGUUCCUCAAGUGGAUUCUGUUUCUUCUAUCUCUAAAAUGUAUCCAGAAGCAGCUACUUCUUGCCUUCUUUCACGGAUUCAGGCCACUAUUUGCACCCACUUGGAUUAUUGCAAUAAUUUCCUGACUGGAUUCCACGUUUCCAGCUUUUCUGUCUGCAGUCUCUUUUGUUUUCGACAUGUGGCUGGAGGGAUGCUGUUAUCAUCUCAGUGAGAUGUAUCAUUGGCUCCCUAGCUGCUCAGAGUAAAAUCUCAACUUUUUACAAUGGCCUGAAAGGCCCUCCAUAACCCUGCCCCCUCCCACUUACCUACCUGUCUCCUCUCCUCCCUCCGACACUCAGCCCUGUGUAUUUUAGCUACUGAAGGAAUAUGUGGGCACGCUGCUAAUUUAUUGUCUUCACGGAGGCUUGAGUUGUGCAUUCACUAUUUCAAACAUUUACGGGUGGACUCUGGCAAUCAACAGUCAUAUGAGUCCCCCCUGCAAAUGAGGGAGUGUACUAGGUGCAAUGUAUGUCCUCCGUCACGUGGUUUGCCCUUGAUACAGAGUCAACCAGGUAGUACUGUUGGUCCUGCUUUGUAGCUGAGGGAGCUUAGACCCAGAAAAUGAAGGAAGUUGCCCAGAGUUACAUGCUAGGAAGUGGUGGAGCUGGGAUUCAAACUCAGAGUUCAGGCUUUGUCUCCAUCUCGGAGAGGCUUCCCUCUUCCUGAAAUGCUGUUCCCCGGUUAUCUGCGAGGCUGCAGUCCUCCCCUCUUUCAGGUCUUUGCUGAAUUAGAACCUUCUCCUUAAGGCAGGGCUGAUGCUGAGCACCACAUUUAAAAUUUUCUGCUCUCCCAGGACCCCUUCUCAGUCCCUCUGCUUGGCUCAUUUCAGGUUUCUGGCAUGUCAUGCCCUUUAAUAAAUAUUGCAAGUGUUUCUCCAUGAGUGUAAGAAAGUUUUUGUUUGUUUGUUUGUUUUUGGUGGGGUUGAUUUUUCAUGGCCCAGGGUUUCUUUGGGUCCUGUCUGGAGGCCUGAAGGCCAUGCUGGGCUUCUGGGGAGUGGGUCCCCUUCCUGCGGCCUCCCUCCUCCCUUUCGUGUUUCUCACUCCUCUGUGUCCCUGGGAAAUGUUGCUGGAUAAAGAUGCAGCUUUUAAUUAAUGCAACUGUUCAAGAUUACAGCCAAUCAUCAGCUUUCUAACCAGUGCCUCAUGGCUCUGCUGGAAAGAGCCUUGCUCUGGUGAUGGUUAAUUUGCUGCCAUUCCCUGUCCCAGACCAGAGAAGGUCCCCUCACUGUCAACAUUCCAUCUGUCAGGUGCAUGUUAUAAAACUGCCUUCAUGAUCAGCUCAUUCACGCACCAGCUUUAGGUUCUAGGAACUGCCAGCCAUGGUGUUGAAGACCUGCUCGAGCUGAGCCUCCAGCCAGACAUCUGAUGUUCACAUCUCAGGGCUCCUUGUUGCUUGUGUAGCCUGAGAGCUAUGGCCGUGGCAGGUAAACCCUGGUAUGGAGUUUGGAAAGAAGAGACCCUUUAUUAUUGUAGCACGACCACUGGAUUGGGCUUCUGGAAAUCCAAUUCUAAUCAGACUUGGGUUAUGCAUUUACUAUUUAAAUAAAACAUUUAUGGGUGGACCCUGGUAAUCAACAGUCAAGUUUUCGGUACUCACUGCCAGGUGAGGAAAUGUACUAGGUGCG